UGCAGAGAAAUCGAAAAAUGUGUCGAAUUUGUUGAUGAUUUGGGCUAUCCUGGGUCAGUUGACAAAGAAGUGAUUUGUGUAACAGAUCAUCCUGGUUUCCCAGCAGUGUGCUUAAACAGAUGGUCGUUGGAAUCUUGCGGUAGAAACGUUUAAAACUCGUGAUGGUCAUCGUUAUAGUCAACUUGGUCCAAAGGAAAGGUACAUUAAAUUUU